CCCCGUGCUUAUAUCAUCGCCGCCCGAAUUGGCCGGAAUGACACUGGAGGCACGUCUGAUAUCCUACGACUGGGAGAAUCAAUUUGGCGAAUUCCAGGAGGCCACACGCAAGGGCAGCUUCAAGCCCAUUUGCUGGGGGGCCAAGAAUCAUGUGGUGCCGGGCUCCGAGUUCCUCGAGGGCUACAGCAUAAAUGUGACCAAGACGUACAAAAAGCACCGGCGGUGCAAACCAAAGCGGCCCUUGGCCCCGCCCACCGAGCGCACCGCCCCGCCGCCCGCGUCCGACCUUAGCGAGCUACCGGUGCUCCACGAGCUGGACAACAACAACAUUAUCGAGGGAGCGGCGCGGAGCAGUCGCAGCUCGGCCACCGACGUCCACGGCCUGAGCCGCGGGAGCGGUCGCCACUUCAUCAGCUGCCUGCUCUGGCUGGGCGCAUCGUCCUGGUGGCUCCUGCUGAUGCUUAGGACGUGAGGGGAUUGAAAGGGAUUCGGCGGCAGACGAAGCAGCAGCACCACAAGCACCACCGUCUCAAUACACUUAACUAACCAUACUGCUAAAGUACAGAUGAAAAUCAGUGAAAAGCGAAAAUAGGAUACAGAUACAUUUACAG
rnacentral:misc_RNA from 1 species